CAUAUCAAUAAGCGGAGGAAAAGAAAAUAACAAUGAUUCCCCUAGUAACUGCGAGUGAAGAGGGACAAGCUCAAAUUUUAAAUCUAUCGGGUUUUACCUGAUCGAGUUGUAAUUUGAAGAAGCGUUUUCUGCGUAUUUGGUCAGCCUAAGUCCUAUUGAAUGAGGCAUCAAGGAGGGUGAGAAUCCCGUCCGGUUGACCAGAUUCGCUUUACGAUACGCUUUCUAAGAGUCAAGUUGUUUGGGAUUGCAGCUUAAAAUGGGAGGUAAAUUUCUCCUAAGGCUAAAUAACGGCGAGAGACCGAUAGCGAACAAGUACCGUGAGGGAAAGAUGAAAAGAACUUUGAAAAGAGAGUUAAACAGUACGUGAAAUUGUUGAAAGGGAAACGAUUGAAGCCAGUCGUACCUUCGGGUAAUCAGCCUUUCGGGUGCGAUUAUGUGGAGUGUGAGGAGCUUAAACACCUUCAUGUUUUGCAUAUUCGUACUCUUGGGUGUACUUGCCCGUGUGGUUGGUUAACAUCAAUUUUGGUGGUCAUAAAAUGACUGGAGGAAUGUAGCUUCGAUCUCGUAUUGAAGUGUUAUAGCCUUCGGUAGAUGUGAUGAUCGAGAUUGAGGAUUGCAACGGAUACCCUUCGGGGCUACCUGUCUGAUCUCUGAUCGUUGCUCUGGUGCCGAAAGCUUGCUUACGGUUAUCAAAGUCGAUGGUCAAUAGGUUAGAACGGGUUAAAUUCGUUAAGGAUGUUGACGUAAUGGCUUUAAACGAC
rnacentral:rRNA from 1 species